GAAAUGAGCAAUUACUGGAAUUAGCUGGAAAUAAAGAACAAAAUCAAGAUUUGGAAGCAAUAAUUCAAGAUGAAAGAAAAGAGCUAAAAAAGAAACAUGAUGAAGAAAAGCAGCAAAUUAUUGAAGCCAAAGAG